GGGUCGGUAGCUCAGCGGUAGAGCACAUCACUUUUAAUGAUGGGGUCCUGGGUUCGAGACCCAGCCGACCCAC
rnacentral:tRNA from 1 species